rnacentral:lncRNA from 1 species
GAAGAGCCCUGGGAGAUUAAGUUUCUUGCAAAGGUAAGUCUGGAACUUCUUCUUGUUUGCACACAAUGGGAGGGAAUGGAAGUGGUAUGAGGUGCAUUGGGUAGAGCCUACUUAACCAGGUAGAUGCUAGGGAAAAGGAGUGUCUCUCUCUCUCUCUCUCUCUCUCUCUCUCUCUCUCUCUCUCUCUCUCUCUCUGUGAGUUCAUUAAGGUUUGUUGCAGUCACUGCUCAGGUAACUGGAGAAAGACAGGAGGAGGGAAAAGAGGGGAUAUUAAAUGUCCCGGGACAGGGUCCCAGCUUUGGUUUGCUAUUGUCUAGCUUUCUGGUCAGCUCUGAGUGAAACAUGUUUAACAUAGUGGAAAGCUGUGUUCUUGUACAUUAGCUACGAAGUAUUUCCCUUGGAGGGUGGCUAA